CGGCGUGCUUAACACAUGCAAGUCGAACGAUGAUGCCCACUUGUGGGUGGAUUAGUGGCGAACGGGUGAGUAACACGUGAGUAACCUGCCCUUGACUCUGGGAUAAGCCUGGGAAACUGGGUCUAAUACCGGAUAUGACUGACUAUCGCAUGGUGGUUGGUGGAAAGCUUUUGCGGUUUUGGAUGGACUCGCGGCCUAUCAGCUUGUUGGUGGGGUAAUGGCCUACCAAGGCGACGACGGGUAGCCGGCCUGAGAGGGUGACCGGCCACACUGGGACUGAGACACGGCCCAGACUCCUACGGGAGGCAGCAGUGGGGAAUAUUGCACAAUGGGCGGAAGCCUGAUGCAGCGACGCCGCGUGAGGGAUGACGGCCUUCGGGUUGUAAACCUCUUUCAGUAGGGAAGAAGCGUAAGUGACGGUACCUGCAGAAGAAGCGCCGGCUAACUACGUGCCAGCAGCCGCGGUAAUACGUAGGGCGCAAGCGUUAUCCGGAAUUAUU
rnacentral:rRNA from 1 species